rnacentral:rRNA from 1 species
ACGGGAGGCAGCAGUGAGGAAUAUUGGUCAAUGGAGGCAACUCUGAACCAGCCAUCUCGCGUGAAGGAAUACGGCCCUAUGGGUCUUAAACUUCUUUUAUAGGGGGAUAAAGUGAGGCAUGUAUGCCUUUUUGUAGGUACCCUAUGAAUAAGCAUCGGCUAACUCCGUGCCAGCAGCCGCGGUAAUACGGAGGAUGCGAGCGUUAUCCGGAUUUAUUGGGUUUAAAGGGUGCGCAGGCGGCACGUUAAGUCAGCGGUGAAAUGCAGGGGCUCAACCCCGGCACUGCCGUUGAAACUGGCGAGCUCGAGUACGGAUGAAGUCGGCGGAAUGUGAUGUGUAGCGGUGAAAUGCUUAGAUAUUACUCAGAACACCGAUUGCGAAGGCAUCUCACGAAUCCGACAUUGACGCUGAGGCACGAAAGCGUGGGGAUCAAACAGGAUUAGAUACCCUGGUA